GCGGGCCCGUCGCCAUUUUCCUUCUCUCGGACCCCCGGAGGCGGUGGGAGAAGGGGAGCGCUGCCGGCAGGUUGGUGGAAGCUUGGGGGCCGGAGUGAGCCGGGCGGGCGGGUUGCGAGCAGAGGUCGCGAGAGGCGGCAGCGCGGGCGGGGGAUGGGCGCCGCGUGGCGCGGCCGGCCCCAACCCCCUCAGCUUCCCGCCCAGCGCCUCACGGACUGCGGGGGAGGGGUCAUUCUUCACAUUCUUCACUCCGCCCUUCCCCCCACUUCAAUCAAACUUGGGCGGGGGAAAUCCCGCCCCCGCGCUAUGCCCAUUGGCCGGCGUCGCCUCCUGCGGUGGCGUGACUGGUUGUGGACGCCGCCAGGUCCCCUUGACGUCACUUCCGCUAUCAGACAGAUGAAAUUCUCUGGAGAAGUUGAAGAAGAGGGGAUGUGACUUACAGUCACCAGCUGGGAAUGAUAUGCUGGAAAGAAAACAGUCGACUUAGGCAGAAGAUUGUAGAAACUGUCUCAGAGAAAAGAUCUUCAAAUACGGACACUUGGGAGAACCACAACUAAAAAGUGGCUCAUUGCCUGAUCACUUGACAAGUAGCAGUUCUCAAACUGUGGUUUGUGGACUUCCUGGGGGACCUAGGAGGGCCCUAGGAUCCUUUCAAGGUGUCCAAAAUAUCAAAAUUAUUUUUAUAAUAUUUCAGAUGCUAUUUGCCUCUUUAAAUGUGUUAAUCUUUGCAAAAGAUGGUGCAAAAGCAAUAAGUAAAACUAUUGGCCCAUUUAGCAUGAAUCAGGGCAGUGGCACCAGUGUACUAGUAGUCAUUCUUUACUGACACACUCAAAGUUUUUUUUAAAAGUCAGUUUCACUUAAGAUUCUCUUUCUUGAAGUAAAAUUUAUUAAUUUUAUGGAAAUCUUCACCCUUUAGUAAUGACUUUAAUAUUCUGUGUGACAAAAUAGGAAUAUGCAAAAGCAUUUGAGCAAUUGUUUGAAUUUGUGACCUGAAGUUGCUGCUUUUUUUCAUGGGAAACCACUUUUCCUUGAAAGAACUACUGACAGAUAAAAUAAAAAUAUUCAGACCUGGGUAUCGAUAGACAUUUUCUCAAAACAAAUAAAAUGAGCCAACCACUUAUGACAGUAUUUGUUACCAAUGAUAAAAUUUAAGCUUUCAAGUGAAUUUGUAAUUUAUAAUUGUAAAUGCCAGUGAGAGUUUGUCAGCUUCUCAAUAUUUAAAAAUGUUUCUGAUGAGAUCAGUGGUGAUAUUAAUAAUAUUUUUGAUAUUAUAUAAUAGAAUGUGUUAACAUUUGAAAGACCUGCAUAUCUCAGUGAACCAGUAUUUUCCAAGUGACCAAUGCACAAUGUAACAUGCAUAAUCUAUGAGUAAAAGAUUUAUUCAUUAUGCAAAAAAUAGGCUAAGGGAUUUUAAUAUAAUGGUAUGAGAAUUUAUUGAUAGGUAUUUAGAUUGCACACCGCAACUAACCUUUAAGAAGACCAGUUGUUGAAUUUUGGUGCAGUAUCAAAGCAGCAUAUCCAUAAUUAUCUAAAAGAACUAUUAAAACGCAGCACCCCUAUUCCAAUGAUGUGUUGACAUGAGGCUGGAUUUUCUUCAUACACCUCAACCAGAAAAGUGCAUCACCACAGACUGAAUGAGGAUGCAGAUAGGAGAAUCUACUUGUCUUCUAAUAAGUCAGACAUUAAAGAGAUUUGCAAAAAAUGUAAAACAAUGCCACUCUU